GGGAAUCUUCCACAAUGGGCGCAAGCCUGAUGGAGCAACACCGCGUGAGUGAAGAAGGGUUUCGGCGCGUAAAGCUCUGUCGUUGGAGAAGAACGUGCGUGCGAGUAACUGUUCACGCAGUGACGGUAUCCAACCAGAAAGUCACGGCUAACUAGCGGGCAGCAGCCGCGGUAACACGUAGGUGGCAAGCGUUAUCCGGAUUUAUUGGGCGUAAAGCGAGCGCAGGCGGUUGCUUAGGUCUGAUGUGAAAGCCUUCGGCUUAACCGAAGAAGUGCAUCGGAAACCGGGCGACUUGAGUGCAGAAGAGGACAGUGGAACUCCAUGUGUAGCGGUGGAAUGCGUAGAUAUAUGGAAGAACACCAGUGGCGAAGGCGGCUGUCUGGUCUGCAACUGACGCUGAGGCUCGAAAGCAUGGGUAGCGAACAGG
rnacentral:rRNA from 1 species